AUUUAUAGCCUCUGGCUAUAGGAAAUUGUUAGUGGCAGACGGGUGAGUAAUGCGUAGGAAUCUACCUAGUAGUACGGAAUAGCCAUUAGAAAUGGUGGGUAAUACUGUAUAAUCCCCGAGGGGGAAAGAUUUAUCGCUAUUAGAUGAGCCUACGUUAGAUUAGCUAGUUGGUGAGGUAAUGGCUUACCAAGGCUAUGAUCUAUAGCUGGUCUGAGAGGACGAUCAGCCACACUGGAACUGAGAUACGGUCCAGACUCCUACGGGAGGCAGCAGUGGGGAAUAUUGGACAAUGGGCGAAAGCCUGAUCCAGCUAUGCCGCGUGAGUGAAGAAGGCCUUCGGGUUGUAAAACUCUUUCAAUAGGGAAGAUAAUGACGGUACCUAUAGAAGAAGUCCCGGCAAACG
rnacentral:rRNA from 1 species